UCCGUAGGCGGGCAAUUAAGUCAGAGGUGAAAUCCCACAGCUCAACUGUGGAACUGCCUUUGAUACUGGUUGUCUUGAGUUACAGUGAAGUAGAUAGAAUAUGUAGUGUAGCGGUGAAACGCAUAGAUAUUACAUAGAAUACCGAUUGCGAAGGCAGUCUACUAACUGUAUACUGACGCUAAUGGACGAAAGCGUGGGGAGCGAACAGGAUUAGAUACCCUGGUAGUCC
rnacentral:rRNA from 1 species